rnacentral:lncRNA from 1 species
GAACUUAAACACAAAUUGAAAAAAGUUUUGAUAAGAAAACCCACGCCAUACAAUUUCAUUUCAAAAUUUUAACAGAAACAAAGAACCCUAAUAGCAAUUUUUCACCUUAGACGAUUCUUCACUCAUUUCUUGCCCGUUUCCACAAAAUAUAUCCAGCCGCUCAGAUCCGGGAAGAAUCGAUUAUCAGCAGAUUGAUUAUCACUUGUUCUACCAGAAGAUAAAUCCCCCAAUAAUUGCUUAUAUUGCUUUGUGAGACUAGAUCAAUUGAAGGAAAUAAAAACCCUCUGCCAUAAAAACGUAAAAACCAACCCAUCAGUUUGAGAAAUCCGCGAUUCAAGGCACAUAGGUAUUGUCGUCUUUCUCUGAUUUGAUAAAUCAUAUCAAUCACAUUUUUUUUUUUUUUUUGUUGAGUAAUUUAGUGCUUAAUACAUACUCUUCAACUUGUGAACAAGGUACAUAGGUAUCAUUUGUUUGGGAUAAAUCAAUUAGUUUGCACUGAGGAAACCGCGAGAAGUCAUAGUGGAUGUAUAUAUUAAUUUCUCAUAUCUGAUUUAUAGUGUCAUUCUUGUUUUUUUUAUUGUUGAAACUCUUUACAAAUCUCUGGUAUUUUAUUAAACAUUAAAAUUUAUGAUUUUGCAAUAUGAAGGUAUCUCCAUAUUUCUGGUAUUUUAUUAAACAUUAAAAUUUAUGAUUUUGCAAGGUAUCUCCAUAUUUUUGGAAGUUGUUUUUGCAAUAAAAAGUUGAGUCUUCAACAAUUUUGUGGUUUUUGGUUCAAUAAUUUGGCUAGAGGAAUUCAGUUUUGUGUGGAAAUAAGGAUAGUAAGAUCCACAAACACUGUAAAAUCUUUAUUAGCAUUUGUGAGAAUUCAGUUUUGUAUGCAAAAUGUAUUAGCGUUUGUGAGAUUUAUGAUGCAAAUUUGUGUUGCUUAUGAAAUUGUGUUGCCAUACAACAUUAUAAUACACGAAAAUGAUUAAAUAUUAAUAUAUUAUUGGUUGAAUAUGCUUUUCUUGUGGUGAUAUGAGUUGUAAUGUGUAUGCAGAAAUUAUUCCUACAUUUUCCUGCUACUACAAUUAGGAAUGUAAAUUAAUCUUCUUGGUUUAAUGGUGAUUUGAGCCGUGUAUUUAUGGUAAAUCACUACAAGAAAAAUAUUGAUAGACUACAUGUAAAAGACAAUUGUUUUUAUGAAAAACCAUGGUCGUUGACUCUAAAACUGUUGUCGUAGAUAAAACCGUGGUCUAUUAGCAUAUUUUUAUGCUAAAGGACCACAAAUUUUUAGUACCAUAGUGUUUUGAGCGAGGUCAUAACUAGUUUACAACAACGCUUUUGAAAAACACAUGUUAAUCACUUAAAAAAUUGUAGUCCUUUUAUUAAUUUAAUUAAUACUAAUAAAAAAACAUAAAAAUUAUGAAUAAAUGAAAUCCCUUAACCUAAACCCCCACAAAUUCGCGAUCAUCUCCUUCUCUCUUCACCAAUAUUGUUGCACCGCUUGCAAUCUGCCGCCGUGUCCCUACCACUAGGGCUGUAUACGAACCGAGCCGAGCCGAAUACUUCCAGGCUCGGGCUCAGUUCGUGAAGAUUUG